rnacentral:rRNA from 1 species
UACGAAGGGUGCAAACGUUGCUCGGAAUUAUUGGGCGUAAAGCGCACGUAGGCGGCUUAGCAAGUCGGAUGUGAAAGCCCUCGGCUCAACCAAGGAAGUGCAUCCGAAACUGCUGAGCUUGAGUACUUAAGAGGAUCGCGGAAUUCCCGGUGUAGAGGUGAAAUUCGUAGAUAUUAGGAAGAACACCAGUGGCGAAGGCGGCUCACUGGCCCGGUACUGACGCUCAUGUGCGAAAGCGUGGGGAGCAAACAGG